CUGUGGUUUACCAAGUCCUCCAGAUGAUUCUGAUGCAAACUCAAGUUUGAGACUCCCUGCAUUAUGCCUUCCUCUUAUGCCCUAACCUAUAACUUUACUAAUAAUCCCUUUACGAAGCCAGCCUCAGAUAGUCGUUAAGUUGAAUGUGCCAUCUGUCUCCUCUUGAAAGCCUGUCUCAUGAACCUUUGUUUAUAGAUCUCUGCACAUAUGUGUGAGUUUAUUAGA
rnacentral:lncRNA from 1 species